CGUGCCCUUCGGGGCACAAUGCUAGUGGCGCACGGGUGAGUAACACGUGGGAACGUACCCUUUAGUACGGAAUAACCAAGGGAAACUUUGGCUAAUACCGUAUACGCCCUUCGGGGGAAAGAUUUAUCGCUAAAGGAUCGGCCCGCGUCUGAUUAGGUAGUUGGUGAGGUAAUGGCUCACCAAGCCGACGAUCAGUAGCUGGUCUGAGAGGAUGAUCAGCCACACUGGGACUGAGACACGGCCCAGACUCC
rnacentral:rRNA from 1 species